UUUUUUUUUUUUUUUUUGGUGAAUCCUCCCCCACAGAUUCCACCCGAGCCGUCGCGGCCUCAACUCCCAAGUACUUGAGAGCGGCUCGGAGGCGGCCCCGCAGGUCCCGAGUGCCGUCAGCGYCCCUCGUUCGCCGAGCGAGAAGCGCCCCCGGGUCGCAAAUCCGGCUUUUCAGAACAGUUUCUGCGUGAAUCAUUACAMCAAUUAAAUCAGAGCGAGCGGACGAGCAGCAAGCCUGCCUAUGUAGACUAAAGAAUUUGCUGAAGGUCACAUAACCUGAGGCCAAGCUGGAUCUCGUGACGCCCAGUCUGGUGCUUUAAUCACAGCCUGUUCCUGCUUUUCAUGCUCUCCAGGCACCUGGAUUCCUUAUGGUCAGUGUUGGGUGAGGAAGAGGCACUCCCAGAGGAUAAAUCGGCUUGUAGGUGGGCAGAGGCCUCCUUUGGAUGUGCCGUUCCUUCCCGCUGCUGCCGUGGGGAACCCUUGUGCCUGUCCUGAACUCGCUCCCUGCCUUCACGGAUCACUUCUGAGGAACUGAGCAGAAGCAGAAAGUCUGGUCUCCAA
rnacentral:lncRNA from 1 species